UACGGAGGGUGCAAGCGUUGUUCGGAAUCAUUGGGCGUAAAGCGCGCGUAGGCGGCUUUGCAAGUCGGGUGUGAAAUCCCCAGGCUUAACCUGGGAACUGCAUUCGAGACUGCAUUGCUAGAGUAUGGGAGAGGGAAGUGGAAUUUCCGGUGUAGCGGUGAAAUGCGUAGAUAUCGGAAGGAACAUCAGUGGCGAAAGCGACUCUCUGGACGGCAACUGGACGCUGAGGCACGAAAGCGUGGG
rnacentral:rRNA from 1 species